rnacentral:rRNA from 1 species
UACGUAGGGGGCAGGCGUUAUCCGGAUUUACUGGGUGUAAAGGGAGCGUAGACGGCAGAGCAAGUCUGAAGUGAAAGCCUGCGGCCCAACUGCGGGACUGCUUUGGAAACUGCCCGGCUAGAGUGCUGGAGAGGUAAGCGGAAUUCCUAGUGUAGCGGUGAAAUGCGUAGAUAUUAGGAGGAACACCAGUGGCGAAGGCGGCUUACUGGACAGUAACUGACGUUGAGGCUCGAAAGCGUGGGGAGCAAACAGG